rnacentral:misc_RNA from 1 species
GAUGAAGAACGCAGCGAAAUGCGAUAAGUAAUGCGAAUUGCAGAAUCCGUGAGUCAUCGAAUCUUUGAACGCACAUUGCGCCCCUUGGUUAUUCCGAAGGGCAUGCCUGUUCGAGCGUCAUUAUCACCCCUCAAGCCCUGGCUUGGUGUUGGACUUUAGUUAUAGCUUUGCCUAUCAACUGGUCUCAAAGAUAGUGACGGCGCCCCAGAGGGAACCGGGUACGAGGAGCUUCUAGUUAAAGCAUGUACGCGGGACGACUCUGCGGGCGACGGUCUUUUUCAUUUCUCCAAGUGUUGACCUCGGAUCAGGUAGGAAUACCCGCUGAACUUAAGCAUAUCAAUAAGCGGAGGA